UUCCAAAGAGAUGCUAGAGAUAUAUCCCAUCUGCCACGUGCUUCUUAAAAUAAGAUCUCCUCCCACAAAGAGAUGGGGAUCUGUGUUCUUUCCCCUUGAAUUUUUGUUACGGGGCCUGUGACUGCUGCUUGUACUAACAGGGUACAGGGGAAGUGAUGCUAUAGGACUUCUGAGGCCAUAAAGAGGAUGCAGCUCAUGGAUGAGUCACUCUCUUGGCACAGGAACCUUGGAAGCCCUAAACCGUCAUGGAAGACACCCAGCUGAAGUGAUCAUACUGGAGAGAACAUGUGGAGAGACAACAUGGAGACAGAGAAACAUGUGGGAGGAUCCUCAGCUGCUCCGGCCACCAGAUGCCUCAGUCUCUCUGGGACCAGAGGAGAAGUAUGGUAUUUUAUGAGAAGACAUGCUAUGAAUGAUGAAAGGCUCUAUUUCAGCAAGUCACAGGCAGAAAAGUCCAAAACAAUGGAAUAGAACUGCAGCAUUGUUGAAAUGCCUGCAUUGGCCCAAAAUUCAACUCUUAUUUCAGUUUUCUACCUCACUGCAAUACCUUCUGGAUAUCUUUACAAUGUCAACAUCCAAUUUCACAGUGAGUACCUUUUCAAUGGACUGUCUCUUAAUUGCUUCUAGAAUGUUUUCUAAGUGCCAAAGGAUCUUAUUUAUUUUGUGUGAAUUGCUUUUAGUCUCAGAGAGUGUGUCCUUUUUAUGUUCUUG
rnacentral:lncRNA from 1 species